ensembl:lncRNA
GUAACAGUAUAACUUUAGACCGUCCCCUCGCCCAUACCCGGGCGCAAACCAGGGACCCUCUGCACACAUCAACAACAGUCACCCACGAAGCAUCGUUACCCAUCCCUCCACAAAACCCGCGGCCCUUGCAGAGCAAGGGGAACUACUACUUCAAGGUCUCAGAGCAAGUGACGUCACCGAUUGAAACGCUAUUUAGCACGCACCACCGCUAACUAAGCUAGCCGUUUCACAUCCGUUACAGCAGCAGCGUUGGUAUGGUAGUAUAGUUAUAGCAGUUAUUGUGCUUCCUCACCUGGAACCAAACCAGACAUUUGUUGUGAUUCAAUGCUUGUUUUGUACUGUAGUUAAGCUGCUUUUUUAAAUGGACAGAUAGCUGUACUGCUGUAUGGACAGAUUCAUAUUAAGUCCGUUGGUCUAGCGCCAGUUCUGUGUGGUCUUAAGCUCUCCCAAUCCUUCCUUCCUAUGGAGAAGAGUGGGUGGAUGUAUAGAACCUCUAAUCUGUGGAGAAACUCUUAACAGAUUGUGUUUCAUCAUUCCCUGGUUCCCUGGCAAGUCAUUUAAAAUGUAUAUCUGGGCUCACUAUUGUGUUGUUCACUAAAUCCCUCCUUUUUUCUCUGUAAUGGUCUGAUCAUGGGGCUGAGCUGGAAUUACACACACGCACACACACUGGAAUUAUCAUUAACGCUACAGCUUAAUUAGCCUGGUUAGUCAUUAGGAUGCAGAAUCAGAGAUGGGCUGUCAUUUGGGAGGCAGGCGUUGUUGUUGUUGUUGUUUGAGUCUGUAUUUUCCGCCUGAGAACACCUGCCCUGGUGGGCGUAAGGGAGAAAGAGCCUGGCUGCUUUGACCCCCUUUUGUGUUCAACUAAAAAGUGCUGUGAUGAAAAUGCGCCGUAGAGAAUGAAGUGGAGGCCUACGCAGCGGCAGUGUGUGUUCUGGCUUGUCUUCAUCUGAACAUGUGAAUGUCCUUGAAUGUAGGCUACAUCAGUGAGCAAAUGCAUCUGUGGCAGUUUAAAAUGUGGCGCAAUGAAAGAUGGGUGUGGGAGUCAAGAAUGCAAGGUUUGGACCAACACCACCCUAUCUGCACCAGUCUUGGUGUUCAUCAAGGUUUGGACCAACGCCACCCUUUCUGCACCAGUCUUGGUGUUCAUCAAGGUUUGGACCAACGCCACCCUUUCUGCACCAUUCUUGGUGUUCAUCAAGGUUUGGACCAACACCACCCUAUCUGCACCAGUCUUGGUGUUCAUCAAGGUUUGGACCAACACCACCCUGUCUACACCAGUCUUCGUGUUCAUCAAGGUUUAGACCAACGCCACCCUUUCUGCACCAGUCUUGGUGUUCAUCAGGUUUGGACCAACACCACCCUAUCUGCACCAGUCUUCUUGUUCAUCGGGUUUGGACCAACGCUACCCUAUCUGCACCAGUCUUGGUGUUCAUCAAGGUUUAGACCAACACCACCCUAUCUGCACCAGUCUUCUUGUUCAUCGGGUUUGGAAAAACGCCACCCUAUCUGCACCAGUCUUGGUGUUCAUCAGGUUAUGACCAACACCACCCUAUCUGCACCAGUCUUCUUGUUCAUCGGGUUUGGACCAACGCUACCCUAUCUGCACCAGUCUUGGUGUUCAUCAAGGUUUGGACCAACACCACCCUAUCUGCCCCAGUCUUGGUGUUCAUCAAGGUUUAGACCAACACCACCCUAUCUGCACCAGUCUUCUUGUUCAUCGGGUUUGGAAAAACGCCCCCCUAUCUGCACCAGUCUUGGUGUUCAUCAGGUUAUGACCAACACCACCCUAUCUGCACCAGUCUUCUUGUUCAUCGGGUUUGGACCAACGCUACCCUAUCUGCACCAGUCUUGGUGUUCAUCAAGGUUUGGACCAACACAACCCUAUCUACACCAGUCUUGGUGUUCAUCAAGGUUUGGACCAACGCCACCCUAUCUGCACCAGUCUUGGUGUUCAUCAAGGUUUGGACCAACACCACCCUAUCUACACCAGUCUUGGUGUUCAUCAAGGUUUGGACCAACACCACCCUAUCUACACCAGUCUUGGUGUUCAUCGGGUUUGGACCAACGCCACCCUAUCUGCACCAGUCUUGGUGUUCAUCAAGGUUUGGACCAACACCACCCUAUCUACACCAGUCUUGGUGUUCAUCAAGGUUUGGACCAACACCACCCUAUCUACACCAGUCUUGGUGUUCAUCGGGUUUGGACCAACGCCACCCUAUCUGCACCAGUCUUGUUGUUCAUCUCAAUAGUGUGAAAUGAGUUUGGGCUUGACAGGCAGUGGAGGCUCCAUUGGAGUGGACAGACCGUAGGAUAGGCAGUGGAGGCUCCAUUGGAGUGGACAGACC